ensembl:lncRNA
UAUCACUGUGUCAGUUUUGUGUUUGGUAUCAUUCCUGAACGUAACCUGAGGGCUAUUGCAUGAAACCAGGAUAAGGGAUUAAACUGGUAAAUUCACGUUAUCCUGGAUAAAUGUAGCUUUUACUUGGUUGCACGAAAGCAGGUUCAAUUAAACCCAGCCAAGUAACCAUGGCAAUCUAUUAUUUGCAGCUAGCCUGCUCCAGACCAGGUAACAGCCAGGCUAAGAUUAAUCCUGGAGACUCAUGUCUUAAAUCAGCUGCCGCUCUGAUCCAAAACAAACGUGUUCAACAGUUAUUCCGUUGUCUCCUGAAUGUGUUCUGAUUUAUCUUUUUUAACAUGCAUUACUUGUCACUAUUGCUGUCACCAGUUUGAUUUUAAACUCUACUAUUGCAGUUGUUUAGAUCAGUGGUCCACAACCUUUUUUGCCUCACGGGCCGUUUUCAUGUCAGACAAUAUUUCGUGGACCAGUCAAAAAGGUCCGGCAGAUAAUAAACACGCCGAACUAACAGGGGGGUUAGUAGUCGUUGGGGGCGGGUGGACCUUCAUUAUUAAACCUUCAAGUAUGAUUCACUGCAGGACUCCUGUAUUAUUAUUAUUAUGUCUGUUUUGUAGCCUUGAAAUUUCAAACUAUUACGUUAUUCCAACGAAACCUUCUUAUUUAUUCUACAAAACGUAAUAUUCAAUAAUUUUAACAAACAAAGUUACACGAUGUGAACAAUAUGGCAAUUCCAUUUCUUAGAGUGGCAGCGAGAUCUUGGGUUUGAGUCACUCAACGGCCUUUCUGUUUGGAGUUAGUUGAGCCGAGGUUGGCUGGGAUUCCCACAAUUGUGCAAAAAAAGCUAUGUAUCUAGUAUGAGAAAGGGUUAGUUACUACUUUAAAAGGGUGAGGGCUUUAAAACAUACAUUUGAAAAAAAAUCACAACAUGUUUUUGUAAAAAGUCAUAGGAGCUUAUAAUACCAUAUUCCCCUACUAGAGAGCUGCACUCCAUAAAUGCGGGGUUACUUGUUCUUACUAGAGCAGGGGUGCCCAACCUUUUUUGAACCAAGAUCUACUUUUAAAGUUGAUAGUGAUCGAGAUCUACCAAAGUGUUACGGACCUGCCGGCUCCUCCUCCUCGUUUUGUCUAUUUGCAUCUCCCCUACAGGUGAGCGGAGCACAGGUGUGACGGGUUUCCUAUGAUUCCUUCCAGGAACACCUGGGAUGGCUUUAUGUACCGGGAUUUGCGGGAGCUCUUGGUAUGCGGGAGGGUGAUUGGAGCUGCUGGAGAGUAGAGUGUUUUUUGGCCUGUGGACAAAAGGGUUCCUGUGUCCAGUCCAUGUGAAUGGGCUGUCAACAUACCGAAACGAAAGUUAAGUGCUCAUUUUGAGUUUAUAGAAAUCAUUUAAAAAAAAAUUAAGAAUGUUUUGUUAUUUUGUUGUGUGGGGUUUCGAACAUUUUUUUUGCAGAGGCCUUUAGGGGCCUCUGUCUUAAGGGAGGGGGUGUUACGGACCUGCCGGCUCCUCCUCCUCGUUUUGUCUAUUUGCAUCUCCCCUACAGGUGAGCGGAGCACAGGUGUGACGGGUUUCCUAUGAUUCCUUCCAGGAACACCUGGGAUGGCUUUAUGUAUCCUGAGGGGUUUAAAAGCUGGGGAGACCAGGUGGAAGGAGGGCUGCCGCUUCUCCUUCUCUCCCGCACCGUUUUGCUGAUUUUGUUUCCUUUUACAUGACUUUUCAUAUACCCUGAUUGCAUACGCUUUCAGUUCUCCUGACUAACACUUAUACUGACUUUAUUUACUUU